rnacentral:rRNA from 1 species
UGGCUUCCAUCUGGAAGAAUCUGGAGACAGGUGCUGCAUGGCUGUCGUCAGCUCGUGUCGUGAGAUGUGGGUUUAAGUCCCGCAACGAGCGCAACCCUUGCCUUUAGUUGCCAGCAGUUCGGCUGGGCACUCUAAAGGGACUGCCGGUGUUAAACCGGAGGAAGGUGGGGAUGACGUCAAGUCCUCAUGGCCUUUAUGACCAGGGCUACACACGUACUACAAUGGCCGAUACAAAGGGCAGCGACACUGCGAGGUGAAGCCAAUCCCGUAAAAUCGGUCUCAGUCCGGAUUGGAGUCUGCAACUCGACUCCAUGAAGUUGGAAUCGCUAGUAAUCGUGGAUCAGCAUGCCACGGUGAAUACGUUCCCGGGCCUU